AUUGAACGCUGGCGGCAUGCUUUACACAUGCAAGUCGAACGGUAACAGGCCGCAAGGUGCUGACGAGUGGCGAACGGGUGAGUAAUGCAUCGGAACGUGCCCAGUCGUGGGGGAUAACGCAGCGAAAGCUGCGCUAAUACCGCAUACGAUCGAUGGAUGAAAGCGGGGGACCGUAAGGCCUCGCGCGAUUGGAGCGGCCUAUGUCAGAUUAGGUAGUUGGUGGGGUAAAGGCUCACCAAGCCAACGAUCUGUAGCUGGUCUGAGAGGACGACCAGCCACACUGGGACUGAGACACGGCCCAGACUCCUACGGGAGGCAGCAGUGGGGAAUUUUGGACAAUGGGCGCAAGCCUGAUCCAGCAAUGCCGCGUGCAGGAAGAAGGCCUUCGGGUUGUAAACUGCUUUUGUACGGAACGAAACGGCUCUGGUUAAUACCUGGGGCUAAUGACGGUACCGUAAGAAUAAGCACCGGCUAACUACGUGCCAGCAGCCGCGGUAAAAC
rnacentral:rRNA from 1 species